CAGAAACUUAAAUGAAUUGACGGGGGCCCGCACAAGCGGUGGAGUAUGUGGUUUAAUUCGAUGCAACGCGAAGAACCUUACCUGGUCUUGACAUCCCGGAGACCCUUAGGAAACUAGGGGGUGCUUCCAUCUGGAAGAAUCUGGAGACAGGUGCUGCAUGGCUGUCGUCAGCUCGUGUCGUGAGAUGUUGGGUUAAGUCCCGCAACGAGCGCAACCCUUGCCUUUAGUUGCCAGCAGUUCGGCUGGGCACUCUAAAGGGACUGCCGGUGUUAAACCGGAGGAAGGUGGGGAUGACGUCAAGUCCUCAUGGCCUUUAUGACCAGGGCUACACACGUGCUACAAUGGUCGGUACAAAGGGUUGCCAAGCCGCGAGGUGGAGCUAAUCCCAUAAAACCGAUCGUAGUCCGGAUCGCAGUCUGCAACUCGACUGCGUGAAGUCGGAAUCGCUAGUAAUCGUGAAUCAGAAUGUCACGGUGAAUACGUUCCCGGGCCUU
rnacentral:rRNA from 1 species